CACACCAACAACAGACUUGAAGUCUGUCUUUACCCCCCUCAUCUCCUCUCUCUCUCUCGUUUCCUUUCCCCCUCAAAACACAGAACAACACAAAGCCAAUCACCCACAACUCUCCUCACCCCACCCCCACCCACUCGACCUCAUCUCUCUCUGCGAUGAAGGCCGGCAGCCGGUUUGGUAAGUCCACCGGCGGUGGUGGAUACAGCAGUCAACGACCACUCACCACCUCCACUCUCCCUCUCGAUCCCCUUAUCGGCGAUGGUGAACUCGGACGAUAAGACACCCUCACACUCUCACCCUCUCGUCGCUCUCUCAGUUGCGAUGAAGAACACAGCCGGCUAAGGAGGAGCUGGUUGGCCAAAGAUGAUGGAGCCGUAGGUGCAUCGGCGGCAGCGGCAGCAACAACAGGGGAGGCGGCGGCGGUGAGAUUCACUGAUGACAAGGACCUGCUAAUGUAUCGAAGAUGUUUGAUGGUGACGGUAGUGGUGGUUAUUUACGGUUCCGAUGUCGUUCGGGCGUCACGGUUCGGUUCAGUCCACGCUAGUCAGUGGAUUCAGUAUGAUUCGACUUGGUUUCAGUUCACAUGGUUCAGCAAGUUCCAUGCUCGGUUCAGAUUUCGGUUCGGGUCUCGGGUUACGGGACAGAUUCUGAAGUGGUGCGGCCGACUCGGUCAAACCGAGCCAACUCAGUUGACUCGGUCAACUCAGCGAGUCGACUCGGUCAACAUCCCGACACGAAGACUUGGUAAAAAUUAACGUCACGUUUAUUUUGUUAUUUUUAUUAUAUUAUUACUCACGUGACAAACGAGCUCGAACCGAUAUAAAAUAACGUUUAGUUUA